rnacentral:rRNA from 1 species
UACGUAGGCAGCGAGCGUUGUUCGGAAUUACUGGGCGUAAAGAGUGUGUAGGCGGUGCUCUAAGUUCGGUGUGAAAUCUCCCGGCUUAACUGGGAGGGUGCGCCGGAAACUGGAGUGCUCGAGCGUGGGAGAGGAAAGCGGAAUUCCUGGUGUAGCGGUGAAAUGCGCAGAUAUCGGGAGGAACACCUGUGGCGAAAGCGGCUCACUGGACCAUAACUGACGCUGAUGCACGAAAGCUGGGGGAGCAAACAGG